AAGACACAUGGUUAAUUCAGUCACUCUAUAUCUUUCAUUUUAGUUCAAAAAUUGUUAUGCUUGCAUGAGAAUGGAUUGUAAAACUUUGAGCUGUUCAGGACAAAAACCGUCAUUGUCAUCUAGCACAGCAACUCACAAAGUGGAAAUAUACACUUAAGAAUACGGAAAUAAUGGGACAUCAUGUCUGCAACCUUUUGCCAAAUGAUUCAGAAAAAAAUAUUAUCAUGAGAGACAAAGAAAGAAGAAGGGAGCAAGAAAGAGAAAAAGGAAGAAAGGGAGAAAGAAGGCAACGUGGUAAACUGUCAACAAAUGACUUUUUCGUACAAUUCUGGCAACUUUUCUGUAAAUCUGAAAUUAUCUCAAAGUAAGUUUUAAAAAGUCAUGUUUGAAAAAAUGGUAUGAUCCGCUUGGAAAUUCAUGCCUUUGAAAAACUAAAUCAAACAGAUCUUCACUAUAUACAAAAUACAAAGGCGUUAUAGGAAAAGAAAGAAAAAUAAACAAGGUAAUGCUGACCUGAUUUUCAGGACAAGUUCUGCCACUAGUGACUUUAAAUAAGUCAAAUAAAUGCUCUGAAAUAAGGGCAUUUAAUUAAAUGGUUCCUUUCCAGCCUUAAAA